rnacentral:rRNA from 1 species
CACGUAGGGUGCGAGCGUUGUCCGGAAUUAUUGGGCGUAAAGAGCUCGUAGGCGGUGUGUCGCGUCGACUGUGAAAACCCGCGGCUCAACCGUGUGGUCUGCAGUCGAUACGGGCAGGCUAGAGUUCGGUAGGGGAGACUGGAAUUCCUGGUGUAGCGGUGAAAUGCGCAGAUAUCAGGAGGAACACCAGUGGCGAAGGCGAGUCCCUGGACAACACCUGACACUGAGGCACGAAAGCUAGGGGAGCAAACAGG